UAUGUUAAUAGAACAAUAACCUUGUAAUCUGGUCAGGAUAGAAAUAUAGCAGCCAUAUCGAGAAGUGUUGUGUCUAUUAACUUUUUU
rnacentral:SRP_RNA from 1 species